rnacentral:tRNA from 3 species
ACUUUAUGGUACGGGUUGUUGGUAUUUUUUUGUCUGUCGAAAGAGAAGACAACGUCAUCGGCGUUCAGCGUGCGAGUCGGUUUAAAAUC